GGGAGCCCCGCGCCGCGGCGCGCUGGCGGCGGGGCGGGGCGGAGUGGCGGCCGUGUGGAGCGCCUAUUUAUAGGGCGGGAGGCUCCCCGCCGCCCGGGGACGUCGUCUGCGGUGUUUCCGCGCUGUAUGUGCCGCCUCGGGCGGGGAGACGGAGCUCUCGGCCCCUCCGGAGGUGGCCGGCGGUCCCGCGCGGAGCCGGUGUGAGAGUAGCCCGCGGGGCAAGCAGGAGCUGCGGCCGCGCUAAGGGGCAACCCUCAGGGUGCGAGAGCAGCGUCCCGAGCAGUGUCACUUUCCAUCGCAGCCGAGCCAGCGGGGGCUACGGCCGUGCGGUGCCCAGGGCUCCGGUUUUAGCAGUGCCCCGCUCUCCGUCGCGUGCGGGCGGCGCGGAGCGCCUGGGUCUGCCCCGGUCUGGUGCGGCGGGGAGAGCUCCGCCGCUCUCGGCGGGAGCGGGCGGAGCAAGACUCUCCCGGCAGAGCUGCGGAGUCCCAGAGAUUCCCUUUUCCGGGAGCAGGCAGCCCCCCACCCGGGGCGCGCUGCCAGCGCCCGGGAAACUCCUCCGCAUCCGCGGCUGCGGAGCUGCCGGCACGCGGCCCCUCCGCGGGCACGGGGGGGAGGCGGGUAGGGCGAGCGGGAGGGGGGGGCGUUCUGCCCGCGAUGCCGCCGCCGGCGGGGCUGGAGCCACCCGGGUGUUCCCCGCGGUCUCGGUGCCGCCCGCCCGCCCGGCGACGAAGCCGCGCGCUCUCGCGGCACGGGGGCGGGCGGGCGCGCGCGCGUCCUGGCGGCAACCUGGGCUCCGCGUCCGGGCUCCCCGAGCCCGCCCCCCCGAUUCCCGCAGCCGGGGCCGGAAUCGCCAAAUAAGGAGCGGGAUGCCUCCGCCGGAACCGAGACUUAUAAGGCUGUUUCCUAAUAUGGAAGGUGCAGCGGAGGCUUCCGGCGGGCUGGCCGGGGCGGGCGGGGGCCGGGCACCGCUCGCCCCUGGGCCGGAGACGCUGCGGCGGCGCUGCGGCGGCGCUG
rnacentral:lncRNA from 1 species